AAGAGAGGGGGGGGGGUUGAGACAUGAAGUAGAUGUGGCAUGAGUAACAUCUACUGGCAGCAUUUGGGUGACAUACACAAGCAAGACGAACUGUAAUCUGAUCACACUAAGGAACGGACGCACACACACACACACACACACUUAUGUUCGCAGGAGGAGAAACGUUCUGACAAAACACCAGCUAUAACUGUAAAUCGCACAUGAAUAAAGGAUAAGAGCCAGUACCCUUCUACAGGCACGGCACACACAAUGGAGGACACAGCGUCAAAUUCUUUGUCGUUCUAACCCCACAAAAAAAUAGACGAAAAAAAAAUGCCUUUAUUGAAGGGGCCCCUUUUUCUUAUUUUUUCUGUGCGCGUGUGUGUGUGUGUGUCUUACAUGCACAUGUUGGGGAUGGAUGAGUCUUGCUACAUGCAGUGUGGAUAUGAGGCACCGUCAUCCUAGAUACGACUUGUUCUAGGACGGACCCCCUGACGGGAGCCCCCCUCCCCCCCAGGUCCCCUCAAGCAGCACACUACAUUAUUAGGGGUCUACAUCAUUUCAAGUGCUCGUGCCAUUAUAUUGAAGCUUUCGACGAUGUCUCUGUAUGUACAUUUGCCUGCACUACUGUAUGGCCUGUGUGUGUGUGUGUGUGUGUGUGUAUGUAUAUAUAUAUAUAUAUAUAUCCUGAAUAAGGCUGUGACAUGCAUUUACACAUGUAGGAAAAUCCAAUCCAGAUUAUCAUAAAUCCAUAUGUAUUUGAUGUGAAGGAGGGGGCAGGGGGGGCGGAGUGAGGGGGGCUGUCAGACAGGAAAUGGCAGGCCCUUUAUUCACACAUGUCCCUUCCACGGAAACACUCAUGCGUCUGACAAGCCCACCAGGGGGGGGCUGGGCUUUCAACUGACACACACACACACACACACACACACAUCACUACGGGAGGAAUCUCAAAGGCUAAAAAUAUGAAUGAGAGUCAAAAGAUAUGUAAAAUGUACUCUGCAAUUACAGCAGUUUCCUAUUUUAAAAGUUCUUGGUGAAGAAAAAAUUAUAAAUAUUGCUGCUCUGAGGAGAGUCCAAACUGACAACGAAGCAAAGCGAGUCAAGGGACAUCUUAUUCCUUCGUUGUUGACGGCUGAGGGUAGAUGGGUGUACAGUGUGUGUGUGUGUGUGUGUGCGCAUGUAGAGUGUGUGUGUGCCUUCAGGGGGACAUUAGCUGACCGCCUUCCAAAAGGCUGAUUAAUUCGAAGGGACCAAAAAUAGCCUGUGCAAGUCACUGCAGAUCAAUUAAACACGUGCGCGCGCACACACCGACUGGCUGCAUUUAAAGCAUGGUUCCCCUGACCCAGAUCAGGCUUGCUCCAGCAGAUCGGACCAGGACUGCCUCUCUCUCCAGCCAUGCUGAAGGGGAGGCCUGACAGCCAGGAUGGUAUCGCCCGCUAAGCUGACAUCCUCCAUCACAGAGGGGCUGCUGCCACUACUCUGGACUGGGCUUGGAAACAGCAGUGUCCUGCAGGCUCCUGAACACACUGUGUGAAGUGUGUGUGAAGUGUGUGUGUGUGCGUGCCCAGCGCUGUCAUCCCAACCCACAAAAGGAGUCUGUAUGCCGGAGGGGAAAAGCCACAUCAUAAGAGGGGAACAGUUCCCUUAAUCUCCCUCUCUUUGUCCAUGUCUCUCCCAUCGCCCACCUGCUGGGGAUGUAAACAAAAGGUAGCCAGGGUAGAGAUGGGCAGGAGAGGGCUCUCAGCACACACAACAAAAGGUAGCCAGGGUAGAGAUGGGCAGGAAAGGGCUCUCAGCACACACAACAAAAGGUAGCCAGGGUAGAGAUGGGCAGGAGAGGGCUCUCAGCACACACAACAAAAGGUAGCCAGGGUAGAGAUGGGCAGGAGAGGGCUCUCAGCACACACAACAAAAGGUAGCCAGGGUAGAGAUGGGCAGGAGAGGGCUCUCAGCACACACAACAAAAGGUAGCCAGGGUAGAGAUGGGCAGGAGAGGGCUCUCAGCACACACAACAAAAGAUAGCCAGGGUAGAGAUGGGCAGGAGAGGGCUCUCAGCACACACAACAAAAGGUAGCCAGGGUAGAGAUGGGCAGGAGAGGGCUCUCAGCACACA